AAGAAGAACCACAGUACAGACCUGGAAAGCAACAGAGGCUUUACUGUACACCUGCUACUGUCACUCUUUAUAAAGACCAGAAGUGGUGGAAAAUAAGUACAUCCAUAUCUUCAAAAUUUUAAUUCUCCAGCUGCUUCUGGAGGGAAAUGACCCCAGCAGAUGUUUGUCAUGAGAACAGAGAGGAGCAGGAAACCUAUGCCUCUUUGUCAAGACUCCACCUUAGUAUGAAAGGUAACAGUGGCAGUUUCUCAUGUCUGGAGGAGCGUUUGCUCAACUUCUUGACCUGCUGCUGGGCAACAGCUUUAACUGGUAAUUGGGGAAGCCGGCCAUUGCCAAUUUCUGUCAGGGUGCAUCUGUGUGCAACAGGUUUGGACAUAUGUGAAGUCAGGAGGUCAUUGACAUAUCCUGCAUGAACCUGGUAUUUAACAUAAAAUAAAUUGUCUUUUAAUUUCAAAUAUUGUUUCCAAUAUGAAAUUGACUAAAUAAAGUAAA